rnacentral:lncRNA from 1 species
GGACAGCAGAGUCCUAUCUGACACUGGGCCUUCCUAAGGAAACAGAAAGCAGUGAACCUCUGUAAAAGCUUAGAGGUGCCCGUGAUACUUGCCCUUGUGUGGGAGGAGAGCUCUGCUGCUGAUUCCGGGUGCCUGUCCCCCAUGACCAUCUUCUCACCGCUGUGGAUGGAUCUGCUCUUUCCCACUGGCCUGUGCUGACUCCGGCUCUCUGGGCAUCAGAACCGUGCAAUGCUCCAGGUGAACCUGGCAUGCACGCCCCACCUGCAGGCUGCACCUCCAGCUCGCUGAC